rnacentral:tRNA from 1 species
GGAAGAGGAUGCGGCCUGGUGGUCGUCACGGGCUUCAAACCCGCUGGGGGCUUACCGGUGUAAGUCUCGGUGAGUUCGAUUCUCACCCCUUCCG